rnacentral:rRNA from 1 species
GAACGCUGGCGGCGUGCUUAACACAUGCAAGUCAGGGGGAAUCCACUCUUCGGGGUGGUAGUACACCGGCGCACGGGUGAGUAACGCGUGAGUGACCUACCCAUUAGACCUGGAUAACCCGGCGAAAGUUGGGCUAAGACGGGAUGUGUUAAUACAAUACAAGUUGUAUUAAUAAAGGCAGGUUUAGGCUUGUGCUAAUGGAUGGGCUCGCGUAUGAUUAGCUAGUUGGUAGGGUAAAGGCUUACCAAGGCGACGAUCAUUAGGCGGCCUGAGAGGGUGGUCGCCCACACUGGAACUGAGACACGGUCCAGACUCCUACGGGAGGCAGCAGUGGGGAAUUUUGCGCAAUGGGCGAGAGCCUGACGCAGCGACGCCGCGUGGACGAGGAAGGCCUUCGGGUCGUAAAGUCCUUUUUUACGGGAAGAAAGUUAAUGUAAGUAACUGUGCAUUAAUUGACGGUACCGUAAGAAUAAGCCCCGGCUAACUCCGUGCCAGCAGCCGCGGUAAUACGGAGGGGGCGAGCGUUGUUCGGAAUUACUGGGCGUAAAGCGUACGUAGGCGGCGUGGUAAGUCGGAGGUUAAAGGCUACGGCUCAACCGUAGUAGGGCCUUUGAUACUAUCAUGCUAGAGUGUC